UCUUACACUGUGCUGUUCUUUCCCACCCCAACCCGAUUCCUUCUCUAUAUAGGUAACCUCCUCUCCCUUGUCAAUCACGUCUCCCCUGGGGUUUCUCCUCCUCGUUACUUGAUGGCUCGAGUUCUCUCCUCCCGAGCCCUAAUCCGAUCGCUGGAGACCGUGGGGCUGCGCUUCCUCGUGCUCCUCCCCUCCCUCCCGCCCGCAACCCGCCUGCUCGGCCUCCGCCGACGCUCCGGCCGUCCCUGGAGGGUGCACGUCGUGGAGAACGAUCUCGACGCUGAGGGAUCCAGCACGGGAUCCGGGACGGGUGAGGCCGAUGCCCUCAGAAAACGCCGCGUCGAUGACGCCAUCCAUAAUAUGGUAGUCCGCCGGUACGCCCCCGAUUGGCUCCCCUUCGUCCCCGGUGCCUCCUACUGGGUCCCGCGCCAGAAACGGCCAUACCGCGUCGCGGAGCUCAUCGCGGGUCUCGUGGACUCCAGGCUUGCGGAUCCCGAGAUCAAGAAUUCGCCGUCGGAGGAGGAGGAGAUGUCGUUUGCCACCGAGCGCGGUUGGCCCUCGUCGGCCUACUUCCUUGAAGAUUUAUCCCCACAACAGAUGAGUCAGCUUAAGGUGCCGAAGACACAAUCUGAUGAUGAAGACAGCUGACUGUUUAUCUGGUACUCCAAGGUGAUUGGCUGGUGCUGCACAAUCAAAUGGUCACCAAGAUUCAUGCUCUGCGACAAUGUGCAUAGUGAUGUGCCAACAACAACACCGACUCAGCAGCUCCACACUGGACAGGAGAGGUGGAAGCUUUUGGUAGAUUAACCCACCAAUGCAAACAUAUGCUGAUGUGCCCUUUACACCCUUGCAAUGAUGAUUAAUAUAACUUAAGCGUUAUGUGUUUCUGAAUAAUAAUGCCAUAUUUUAUCCAUUUGUUCUUCUAUGAAAUCCUUAAAUGUUCAAAAACUACAAUGUUGGCAUGUCAAGGGACUUAAAGAGAAUCUUAACUCGGUAGCUGCUGCACGUAUUGAAGCUUUCACUUGGAAUAGCCAGGCACUUCUGCAACAGUUUACAACUUCAUGUGUAGAUUUGUGUCGGAGUUUGUUGGUCUAUAUAAAUUAUUUAUCCA